GAGCUUGCUCUCUGGGUGGCGAGUGGCGGACGGGUGAGGAAUACAUCGGAAUCUACCUUUUCGUGGGGGAUAACGUAGGGAAACUUACGCUAAUACCGCAUACGACCUUCGGGUGAAAGCAGGGGACCUUCGGGCCUUGCGCGGAUAGAUGAGCCGAUGUCGGAUUAGCUAGUUGGCGGGGUAAAGGCCCACCAAGGCGACGAUCCGUAGCUGGUCUGAGAGGAUGAUCAGCCACACUGGAACUGAGACACGGUCCAGACUCCUACGGGAGGCAGCAGUGGGGAAUAUUGGACAAUGGGCGCAAGCCUGAUCCAGCCAUACCGCGUGGGUGAAGAGGGCCUUCGGGUUGUAAAGCCCUUUUGUUGGGAAAGAAAAGCAACCAGUUAAUACCUGGUUGUUCUGACGGUACCCAAAGAAUAAGCACCGGCUAACUUCGUGCCAGCAGCCGCGGUAAUACGAAGGGUGCAAGCGUUACUCGGAAUUACUGGGCGUAAAGCGUGCGUAGGUGGUUGUUUAAGUCUGUUGUGAAAGCCCUGGGCUCAACCUGGGAAUUGCAGUGGAUACUGGACGACUAGAGUGUGGUAGAAGGGUAGUGGAAAUUCCUGGUGUAAGCAGUGAAAUGCGUAAAGAUCAGGAGGAACAUCCAUGGCGAAGGCAGCUACCUGGACCAACACUGACACUGAGGCACGAAAGCGUGGGGAGCAGACAGGAUUAGAUACCCUGGUAGUCCACGCCCUAAACGAUGCGAACU
rnacentral:rRNA from 1 species